AUGGUAUCAGCUAUUUUUUCUGAGAGUGAACUGGCAACUCCAGCAGUGACAGAGGAUGCUAUCUUUGGAUUUGGAGUUGAGGUUCCGUUAACUGGGGGUUCAUAUAUCAACUGGGCUUCAAUUUCUUUCUCUGGAUUUUCAAAUUUCUCAAGAACUUUGCAAACUGUUUGAAUGAAUCUUUAGGUUCCUGUUUUCCCAGAUACGUUUUCUUAGACUCAGCUGUCAGAUCAUGAAUUUCAUUUUCUUCUUUCCCUGGAGAUCCCAUAAAAACAUUAAGAGAACUAGAAUGUAAUACUGAACUGCCUGAGGAUACUGGAUUUUUUCUUGGAGGAAACACUGAGUUUAACUGUGGUAGAAAGUCAAGGCCAUCUCCUUUGCUUAUGGAUUCAUCACCUCCCUUGUUAACUACAGCAUCAUCUCUGACAGGUGAGAACAUGUCACCCAGACUACUCUUCCCAGUAUCAUCAAAACUGGAAUCCUGAUUCUUUCCACUCUCCGUUUCCUUAGGUAAAAUAUCUGGCAUCAGGCCAGCUUUAAAGCUUUCAUCAUUUUAAUCACAAAAGAUUAUUAUUCCAACCUUAAGUAGCUUAUGUGAUUUAUCUUCAUAGGUCAGACUAAAAAGUCAGCAGUCUUGUGGAAAAAGAUCCUGCCAUUGUACUCAGUGACAUUUUAUAUUGGCAGGAAGUAACAAUUUAUGCAAUUAUUUUCUGUAAUCCCUACAUUCCUGCUGGUAUAAGCCAGAGCAAUGGGGGAAAAAAAGAUGAUCAUGUUCCUUAGUGUGAAAUUGGACAAAAUGCCAUCCUAUUGCUGAUCCCUCCUUGCCAUCAAAGUGUAGUGCUGCUGUACUACCUGCAACUAAGGCGUAAAGAGAAAAUAAUGCCUUUGCAAUCAACAAGAAGCUUGAGAUAGGUUUGUGUUUUCAUUAAUAUUCCAUAUUACUUCAUCAGAAUUGAAUUUCUUCUUGAAAUAGUAACUAAUUAUAAACUAAUGCAAAGACAUGUCUAAUUCUGAGAUUUUCAC
rnacentral:lncRNA from 1 species